AGAGUUUGAUUCAUGGCUCAGGACGAACGCUGGCGGCGUGCUUAACACAUGCAAGUCGAACGGUGAAAGGGACCUGCUUUUGUGGGUCCUGGAUGAGUGGCGAACGGGUGAGUAACACGUGAGUAACCUGCCCCCUUCUUCUGGAUAACCGCAUGAAAGUGUGGCUAAUACGGGAUAUUCUGUGCCUGCUGCAUGGUGGGUGUGGGAAAGAUGCGCCUUUGGGUGUUUUUGGUGGGGGAUGGGCUCGCGGCCUAUCAGCUUGUUGGUGGGGUGAUGGCCUACCAAGGCGGUGACGGGUAGCCGGCCUGAGAGGGUGGACGGUCACACUGGGACUGAGACACGGCCCAGACUCCUACGGGAGGCAGCAGUGGGGAAUAUUGCACAAUGGGCGCAAGCCUGAUGCAGCGACGCCGCGUGAGGGAUGGAGGCCUUCGGGUUGUAAACCUCUUUCGCCAGUGAAGCAGGCCUGUCCCUUGUGGUUGGGUUGACGGUAGCUGGAUAAGAAGCGCCGGCUAACUACGUGCCAGCAGCCGCGGUAAUACGUAGGGCGCGAGCGUUGUCCGGAAUUAUUGGGCGUAAAGAGCUCGUAGGCGGCUGGUCGCGUCUGUCGUGAAAUCCUCUGGCUUAACUGGGGGCUUGCGGUGGGUACGGGCCGGCUUGAGUGCGGUAGGGGAGACUGGAACUCCUGGUGUAGCGGUGGAAUGCGCAGAUAUCAGGAAGAACACCGGUGGCGAAGGCGGGUCUCUGGGCCGUUACUGACGCUGAGGAGCGAAAGCGUGGGGAGCGAACAGGAUUAGAUACCCUGGUAGUCCACGCCGUAAACGUUGGGCACUAGGUGUGGGGGGCCUUUUCCGGGUCUUCCGCGCCGUAGCUAACGCAUUAAGUGCCCCGCCUGGGGAGUACGGCCGCAAGGCUAAAACUCAAAGGAAUUGACGGGGGCCCGCACAAGCGGCGGAGCAUGCGGAUUAAUUCGAUGCAACGCGAAGAACCUUACCAAGGCUUGACAUGUGCCGGUCGGCUCCGGAGACGGGGUUUCCUCCUUGUGGGGCCGGUUCACAGGUGGUGCAUGGUUGUCGUCAGCUCGUGUCGUGAGAUGUUGGGUUAAGUCCCGCAACGAGCGCAACCCUUGUCCCGUGUUGCCAGCACGUUGUGGUGGGGACUCGCGGGAGACUGCCGGGGUCAACUCGGAGGAAGGUGGGGAUGACGUCAAAUCAUCAUGCCCCUUAUGUCUUGGGCUUCACGCAUGCUACAAUGGCCGGUACAGAGGGCUGCGAUACCGUGAGGUGGAGCGAAUCCCUUAAAGCCGGUCUCAGUUCGGAUCGGUGUCUGCAACUCGACACCGUGAAGUUGGAGUCGCUAGUAAUCGCAGAUCAGCAACGCUGCGGUGAAUACGUUCUCGGGCCUUGUACACACCGCCCGUCAAG
rnacentral:rRNA from 1 species